CUAAGAAUAUUCCGCAAUGGACGGAAGUCUGACGGAGCGACGCCGCGUGGAUGAAGAAGGCCGAAAGGUUGUAAAGUUCUUUUGCUGGGGAAGAAUAACCGCAGGAGGGAAUGUCUGUGGGAUGACAAGAACCGGCGAAUAAGCCCCGGCCAACUACGUGCCAGCAGCCGCGGUAACACGUAGGGGGCGAGCGUUGUUCGGAAUUACUGGGCGUAAAGGGCAUGUAGGCGGCUUGGAAAGCCUGGCGUGAAAGUCUGCAGCUUAACUGCAGGGGUGCGCUGGGAACUGCUGAGCUUGAGUGACGGAGAGGGAGCUGGAAUUCCUGGUGUAGGGGUGAAAUCUGUAGAUAUCAGGAAGAACACCGAUGGCGAAGGCAAGCUCCUGGCCGAUGACUGACGCUGAGGUGCGAAAGUGUGGGGAUCAAACAGAUUAGNUACCCUGGUAGUCACACAGCCAACGAUGUGCACUAGGUGCUGGGGCGGUAGCUUCGGUGCCGGAGCGAACGUGGUAGGUGCACCG
rnacentral:rRNA from 1 species